GGCAAGUGCACUCUGCGUCAAAUUUGAAUACAGCCUCAUUUGAUGCAAUUUUUUAAACUUGCCAAAAUUAAUUGGUUGGCAAACUGUUAUUCAUUGAUUUAGUCACAUCACGACUUUAUCAAUUGUAUAGGAAUUGUCACAAU